CCUACGGGAGGCAGCAGUGGGGAAUAUUGCACAAUGGGGGCAACCCUGAUGCAGCAACGCCGCGUGAAGGAAGACGGUUUUCGGAUUGUAAACUUCUGUUCUUAGUGAAGAAUACUGACGGUAGCUAAGGAGCAAGCCACGGCUAACUACGUGCCAGCAGCAGCGGUAAUACGUAGGUCGCAAGCGUUGUCCGGAAUUACUGGGGGUAAAGGGAGCGCAGGCGGGAGGCCAAGUCAGCUGUGAAACCUACGGGCUGAACUUGUAGACUGCAGUUGAGACUGGUUUGCUUGAGUGAAGUAGAGGGGGGCGGAAUGCCGGGUGUAGCGGUGAAAUGCGUAGAUAUUCGGAGGAACACCGGUGGCGAAGGCGGCCAACUGGGCUUUAACUGACGCUGAGGCUCGAAAGUGUGGGGAGCAAACAGGAUUAGAUACCCGAGUAGUC
rnacentral:rRNA from 1 species